rnacentral:rRNA from 1 species
AUUGAACGCUGGCGGCAGGCCUAACACAUGCAAGUCGGACGGUAGCACAGAGAGCUUGCUCUCGGGUGACGAGUGGCGGACGGGUGAGUAAUGUCUGGGGAUCUGCCCGAUAGAGGGGGAUAACCACGGAAACGGUGGCUAAUACCGCAUAACGUCGCAAGACCAAAGAGGGGGACCUUCGGGCCUCUCACUAUCGGAUGAACCCAGAUGGGAUUAGCUAGUAGGCGGGGUAACGGCCCACCUAGGCGACGAUCCCUAGCUGGUCUGAGAGGAUGACCAGCCACACUGGAACUGAGACACGGUCCAGACUCCUACGGGAGGCAGCAGUGGGGAAUAUUGCACAAUGGGCGCAAGCCUGACGCAGCCAUGCCGCGUGUAUGAAGAAGGCCUUCGGGUUGUAAAGUACUUUCAGCGGGGAGGAAGGCGAUGUGGUUAAUAACCGUAUCGAUUGACGUUACCCGCAGAAGAAGCACCGGCUAACUCCGUGCCAGCCGCCGCGGUAA